GCCGGGGUGGUGGAAUGGUAGACACCAGGGACUUAAAAUCCCUUCUCCGCAAGGGGGUACGAGUUCGAGUCUCGUCCCCGGCA
rnacentral:tRNA from 1 species